rnacentral:rRNA from 1 species
CGAACGAAGCACUUUAUUUGAUUUCCUUCGGGACUGAUUAUUUUGUGACUGAGUGGCGGACGGGUGAGUAACGCGUGGGUAACCUGCCUUGUACAGGGGGAUAACAGUUGGAAACGGCUGCUAAUACCGCAUAAGCGCACAGCAUCGCAUGAUGCAGUGUGAAAAACUCCGGUGGUAUAAGAUGGACCCGCGUUGGAUUAGCUAGUUGGUGAGGUAACGGCCCACCAAGGCGACGAUCCAUAGCCGACCUGAGAGGGUGACCGGCCACAUUGGGACUGAGACACGGCCCAAACUCCUACGGGAGGCAGCAGUGGGGAAUAUUGCACAAUGGGCGAAAGCCUGAUGCAGCGACGCCGCGUGAGCGAAGAAGUAUUUCGGUAUGUAAAGCUCUAUCAGCAGGGAAGAUAAUGACGGUACCUGACUAAGAAGCACCGGCUAAAUACGUGCCAGCAGUCGCGGUAAUACGUAUGGUGCAAGCGUUAUCCGGAUUUACUGGGUGUAAAGGGAGCGCAGGCGGUGCGGCAAGUCUGAUGUGAAAGCCCGGGGCUCAACCCCGGUACUGCAUUGGAAACUGUCGUACUAGAGUGUCGGAGGGGUAAGCGGAAUUCCUAGUGUAGCGGUGAAAUGCGUAGAUAUUAGGAGGAACACCAGUGGCGAAGGCGGCUUACUGGACGA